AUUUAAGAGCAAGGGAGGUUACGAUGAUCUUGAGAGUGCAAGGGCAUUCCAUCCCAAGGAUAUGCCCUAUGAUAACUGGUUGAGAACCAUCGAAGGUUUCCGGGAAGAAAAAUAUAUUAAAAGAAGCAAGGCCAACACACUAGUACGCGAGAAACAACAAUUCCCAUACCGUGGGGGGGACAUCUUCGUACGGUAGCACCGCCUAUAAAAAUGAUAUGGAUUGGGUACCUACGUAUGCUAAAACCCACACGGACAAUCAAGGGAAUUGGGUUGAUCCGGUUGCUGAACAAAAUUACCGGAACAUACAACAUGCCCCU